UUAAACAAUUUAAAGGCAAUACUACCAAAUACUAAUUGAGUGUAUGUAAACUUCUGACCCACUGGGAAUGUGAUGAAAGAAAUACAAGCUGAAAUAAAUCAUUCUCUCUACUAGUAUUCUGACAUUUCACAUUCUUAAAAUGAAGUGGUGAUCCUAACUGACUUAAGAAAGUAAAUUUUUACUCAGAUUAAAUGUUAGAAAUUGUGAAAAACUGAGUUUAAAUGUAUUUGGCUAAGGUGUAUGUAAACUUCCGACUUCAACUGUAUGUAGAUGAGAGAUUUGUACCACACACAUAGUGAUUUCUGGCUCUCUCUUUUGUCUCUGUUCUCUCUCCCUUUCUUAAGACAACCCAAUGGUUAAGUGUAUAUAAAAACAUGCUCACUUUAAUAAAUAAGUUAAAUGUUUUUGUUGAUGGAUUGAGUUUUUUUUUUGUGUGUGUGUUUAUUUUAACAAAAGUGAUCCAAAGCAUGCUUGCUUUGGUACGGAAAACUGUGGUUGUGUCUGAAAUCUUUCUAGCCUACUGCUUACUAAUAAAAUCAAAUGUAUUUAUAAAGCCCUUCUUACAUCAGCUGAUAUCUCAAAGUGCUGUACACAGAAACCCAGCCUAAAACCCCCCAAAACAGCAAGCUAAAAUGUACUAGCCAUACUACAUACGGAUACACUAGUAAAACGCAGUAUUAAACGUUAAACAAAUAUCAACAUACUGGUUCAAACGACAGAAAAGAAGCAGCGGACACUAUCAGCUGUUCGGUCACAGUUUCUGAUGGACGUUUUAUGGUAUUACACAGCAUACCAUUUUCGUUUGUCAAACUGAACACAAAUGCUAGCCAGCAGCUAACAAAAUGAGUUUGUUUUUGGCCAAAUUGUCAUGUAAAAAUGACAUAGACGAGGUAAUAAAAACCGUUGCUGAAAAGGUUUUAGUUCUUCGGUUUGGAAGAGAUGAAGACUCUGUCUGCCUUCAACUUGACGAGAUUGUAAGUAGCUAACGUUAGCAUGUGUAGCUAGCAUGCUAGCUGGGUAACUAGCUAGCUCUACCAGCUAACUUCCUGCAAUAUUGUAGCCAGUAAACAUUGAUGCAAAACGUACAUGUCAAUAUUUACACCAACACUGUCAAUGUAUUUUUUUGUUGUUAUUGUUGUAACGUUUGUCUGUCUGAAUCGGGAAUGACAAGUGUUAUAAUUAUUUUUGCCAGCUGUCCAAAACCUCCCACGACCUGAGUAACAUGGCGUCUAUCUACAUCGUGGAUGUGGACUCAGCUCCCGUCUACACGAGAUACUUCGACAUCAGUUACAUCCCAUCAACAGUCUUCUUCUUCAACGGACAACACAUGAAAGUUGAUCAUGGGUGAAAAGGAAGAUGGCCGACAACUAGCUACAAUACCACUGGUCUCCAGAUCACACCAAGUUUGUGGGCAGUUAAGACCAAGCAGGACUUCCUGGAUCUGAUCGAAGUGAUCUACAGAGGUGCUAUGAGAGGGAAGAUGAUCGUCCAGAGUCCCAUCGACCCUCAGAACAUCCCCAAGUACGACCUGCUCUACCAUGGGAUCUAACCCCGUCACGACCUGCUCAACCAUGGGAUCUGAGAUUCCACCACGAUUCCCCACCCUUCAGCGCGGUUACAAGCACCCUGGCUGCAGAUCUCGUCGGGAGACCGACGGCGCGGUUUGAGCGCUCAAGCUGCCGACAAUUCAUGUGAAGAGAAAACGUCUGACCAGCACAUAACAGAUUGGCCCGGCCUGGACAAUUAUGGUGUCGGCGUUAUCAAGAGACACCACUGUAGCCGGCGCCAUCUCACUUCACCAUUCAUACUGAUGUACCGAUUUAGUGAAACUGUCCAUAACUAGAGGUUUGAUAUUUCCUAGGGAAAUAGAUCUCUAUAAAAGACACAUGCGUGUCAGAGUGAACAAUCUUUUAUUUCAUACAAUGAACAUUAAUUUAUAUCUGGAUGUUCUUGUUGCCUCUUUGUUUAUAGUGGGAAUGCUGAAUGUAAUGUAUGUUUGGUCACAAGGUCAGAAACCUUUUGAACUUUUUGUUAAUAAAUGUCACUUAAAAUAA